rnacentral:rRNA from 1 species
GUAGGUGGCAAGCGUUGUCCGGAAUUAUUGGGCGUAAAGCGCGCGCAGGCGGUUCUUUAAGUCUGAUGUGAAAGCCCUCGGGCUCAACCGUGGAGGGUCAUUGGAAACUGGAGAACUUGAGUACAGAAGAGGAAAGCGGAAUUCCACGUGUAGCGGUGAAAUGCGUAGAGAUGUGGAGGAACACCAGUGGCGAAGGCGGCCUUCUGGUCUGUAACUGACGCUGAGGCGCGAAAGCGUGGGGAGCAAACAGGAUUAGAUACCCUGGUAGUCCACGCCGUAAACGAUGAGUGCUAAGUGUUAGGGGGUUUCCGCCCCUUAGUGCUGCAGCUAACGCAUUAAGCACUCCGCCUGGGGAGUACGGCCGCAAGGCUG